AGCGAACGCUGGCGGCAGGCCUAACACAUGCAAGUCGAACGAAGCCUUCGGGCUUAGUGGCGGACGGGUGAGUAACACGUGGGAACGUACCUUUUGGAUCGGAAUAACGCAGAGAAAUUUGCGCUAAUACCGAAUGAGCCCUUCGGGGGAAAGAUUUAUCGCCGAUAGAUCGGCCCGCGUUGGAUUAGGUAGUUGGUGUGGUAAAGGCGCACCAAGCCUACGAUCCAUAGCUGGUCUGAGAGGAUGAUCAGCCACACUGGGACUGAGACACGGCCCAGACUCCUACGGGAGGCAGCAGUGGGGAAUCUUGCGCAAUGGGCGAAAGCCUGACGCAGCCAUGCCGCGUGAAUGAUGAAGGUCUUAGGAUUGUAAAAUUCUUUUACCAGGGACGAUAAUGACGGUACCUGGAGAAAAAGCCCCGGCUAACUUCGUGCCAGCCGCCGCGGUAAAAC
rnacentral:rRNA from 1 species